UCCAAAGUGGAGCCAAUGCCGACCCAGCACUGUGGCCGCGCAAAGCCUCCCAGGCCCAGGGGGCUGGAGCCAGCCCUGCAAGGAUGCCCCAGAGAUGCUCUCCUUCCCACCAGCUCCUCAGCCUACAGCGAGGGCUCAGCCAGGUUCAAUGAGCUCUAUCUACACACAGCAGAAUUUGGAACAAAGUGGACUUAAUCCAACAGACUUUUUUCUCUAUUUCUCAACUCAUAUGACUGCUUCAGAGCAGGUCAGCCAGCUGCAGGAAGGAAAGAAAGCGGAGCGUCAUGUUUAUCGCUGCUGCUUGACCGUGUAGCGACAAUGACAUUGCUGCAAUUGUAGUAUGGGAACGUUGAGCCGUGAGAGCCAGCGUGGGAGAGGAUGCACCAGUCUGCAUCAGCCGGUGCAUCGCUCACCUUCGCACCAGGGACUUCAAUGACGCUGGAGGGAGCUGCUUCAAAAACCACCUGAAGAACAGGAGACAGUCCUGAGGCUCAGACCUGAAUCCAGAGCUCACUAACAUGCAUAAACAUUCAAAUUUAGGCUUCAGUUAGACAGCAAAAGACGGCCGAAGCCAGCUGUGAAUAUGUAGCUAAGAAAUGGACAUAACCAAAUACAUAAGCCAGUGGUGUGCAUAUGGCUUCAGAGUAAGUCUAGAUUUUUGGAAGACAGGUAUACAAAUAACCAGCAUGUUUCCCUCACUUGAGUACCGCACUUCCAGCUAGGACCGCAGGUUCCCGGAGGAGCUGGAGCACACAGCAUAGAGCUGCGCCUGGAUUUCACUCGCUCAGGACUCAUCUCCCUUUCUUCCAGCUGUCUCCAGGAGCGGCUCUGACUGCGGUGGGGAAGAAAUCAGUGCCAUGAGCUGUGCGCAGUUAUUUACGGCUGCAUGGUGGCUCCAGUCGCUGCGCAGGCUCAAGGGUGAGGUCCUCUGCUUGUAGCCUUCGGUCAGCCCCGAGCAGCAUGGACCGCUGAGCUGUCCCAGCCUGUUAUUCCCACACCUGUGUCCUGGCCCUUGGGGCAUAUAACCGUUACUGUUCAUUAACUGUCUCCGUGGCACUUGCACAAGCCCUGUCGCCAGUCCAGAUCCCUUUUUUUAGGGCAGCAUACACUUAUGAUUCAGGUUCUGAGACUUACAAAAAUAAUAAAGAAUUAAAAUAAUGCCCACCAGAUAAGUCAUGUGCUUAGCGCAAGCUAUGAAUUUCUGAGCUGCAGCCAAAUGCGCUUGGCACCUGGAUCCAAGAUUUUGUCCUGGCUCAAUUUUAUUGGGCAGUAGCUUUUUAAAUGGGCAGCAGAGAGGAAUUUUAACCAGUCUAUUUCAUUCAAAGAACCUCAGCUUGCAGGGGUAUUUGGAUUUGGAGUCAAAUAUCAUGGCAUGAUCCUAUCUGGAAAUGAACUGAAAACACAUCAGCUUCCCGGGGCUGGUGACUGGUCCUGCGUCCCAGCACUCUGAGCCUUGUUUACUUUCCUCCCCUGCCCGGCUGCGAUGAGAUGGUUGGAUUUCUGUGUGGACUCCGUGUGGUUCUGCCUGGUUUGGCAAAUGGAGCAGACUGAAGUUCACAGGGACUUGGCCGUAACUCAGUUUUUUCAAAACUUAAGAAAAUGUUGAGUGAGUGAAUGGAAUGUAUUUAGGUUUUGUUUUGUUUCUGAGAUUUUUACUUAGUUUUUAUUGUGCACCCAAAUGACCAGUGAACUUGUGAGCUCAACGUUUCUGAGCCUGCAGGGACUCGUCUGCUAGGUCUUUGUGUAACGUAGAACUGACUAUAGCACUCUCAUAAAUCUUCAUGAAACCAAUUUUAAAACCAUGUCUUCUACUGUUUUCCUUGAACAAGCAGUAACAAAAUGAAAUGAAUGUGUUUGUUGUCUUUUGCCAGGAGUAUACAGCUGUAGACUGAGGAAGCAGCGUUGACUCUCUACUACAAGGAGAGCAAAGCUCACCUUGUGACUUGCUACUGUUUGAAGUCUGAGUGUGAUAAAAAUUGGACUUUGUUACAAAAAUUAAUUAAAGUUGAAUGUUGUGGAAAGAGCUUGUGAUGAUUCUAGGAGCCAGAUUUCAUUUAUUUAGUGAUUUAUUGUAGAGCCUUGCUCUGGUUGCUCUUGGAUGAACCGUUCAGUGCCGAACCAGCUCCAGCUCCCCAGGCCGUAGGAGGCCCUGAGUGUUGCUGCCCCAAGGAUGGGGACAGGCGACCUGCUGGGGUAGGUUCUCAGUUUGCCACCUUUCCCCCCCACCACACUGCUGUUAUACAGUGCCCGAGGUGCUGGGUUUAACUGUGCUUUGCAAAGCACCACGCUAUCGUAAGUUAAACAGUCUUAAAGGCUCACAUGAGGCCCCAAACUGCAAGUUACUGUUAAUAUGUCUUAAGUAAAUACAGCCUGAG